rnacentral:rRNA from 1 species
UACGGAGGGUGCAAGCGUUAUCCGGAAUCACUGGGUUUAAAGGGUGCGUAGGCUGUAUAGUAAGUCAGAAGUGAAAGCUUCCCGCUAAACGGGAAAACUGCUUUUGAUACUGCUAAACUUGAGUUAGGUUGAGGUAGGCGGAAUGUGACAUGUAGCGGUGAAAUGCUUAGAUAUGUCAUAGAACACCAAUUGCGAAGGCAGCUUACUAGACCUAUACUGACGCUGAGGCACGAAAGCGUGGGGAGCGAACAGG